rnacentral:rRNA from 1 species
AUUGAACGCUGGCGGCAUGCCUUACACAUGCAAGUCGAACGGCAGCACGGGCUUCGGUCUGGUGGCGAGUGGCGAACGGGUGAGUAAUGUAUCGGAACGUACCUUUCAGUGGUGGGUAACGUCGCGAAAGUUACGCUAAUACCGCAUAUUCUGUGAGCAGGGAAGCGGGGGAUCGAACGACCUUUCGCUGAUUGAGCGGCCGAUAUCAGAUUAGCUAGUUGGUGGGGUAAAGGCCUACCAAGGCGACGAUCUGUAGCGGGUCUGAGAGGAUGAUCAGCCACACUGGAACUGAGACACGGCCCAGACUCCUACGGGAGGCAGCAGUGGGGAAUCUUGGACAAUGGGGGCAACCCUGAUCCAGCCAUGCCGCGUGAGUGAAGAAGGCCUUAGGGUUGUAAAGCGCUUUCGGCCGGGAAGAAACUGCAUUGGCUAAUACCGGGUGUGAAUGACGGUACCGGAAGAAGAAGCACCGGCUAACUACGUG